GACGAACGCUGGCGGCGUGCUUAACACAUGCAAGUCGAACGAUGAAGCGGUGCUUGCACCGUGGAUUAGUGGCGAACGGGUGAGUAAUACGUGAGUGACCUACCUUUGACUCUGGGAUAAGCCUGGGAAACUGGGUCUAAUACCGGAUACGACCAAUCUCUGCAUGGGGUGUUGGUGGAAAGCGUUAUGGAGUGGUUUUAGGUGGGCUCACGGCCUAUCAGCUUGUUGGUGAGGUAAUGGCUUACCAAGGCGACGACGGGUAGCCGGCCUGAGAGGGUGACCGGCCACACUGGGACUGAGACACGGCCCAGACUCCUACGGGAGGCAGCAGUGGGGAAUAUUGCACAAUGGGCGCAAGCCUGAUGCAGCGACGCCGCGUGAGGGAUGACGGCCUUCGGGUUGUAAACCUCUGUUAGCAUCGAAGAAGCGAAAGUGACGGUAGGUGCAGAGAAAGCGCCGGCUAACUACGUGCCAGCAGCCGCGGUAAUACGUAGGGCGCGAGCGUUGUCCGGAAUUAUUGGGCGUAAAGAGCUUGUAGGCGGUUGGUCGCGUCUGCUGUGAAGGCCGGGGCUUAACUCCGGUUUUGCAGUGGGUACGGGCUAACUAGAGUGCAGUAGGGGAGACUGGAAUUCCUGGUGUAGCGGUGGAAUGCACAGAUAUCAGGAGGAACACCGAUGGCGAAGGCAGGUCUCUGGGCUGUAACUGACGCUGAGAAGCGAAAGCAUGGGGAGCGAACAGGAUUAGAUACCCUGGUAGUCCAUGCCGUAAACGUUGGGCACUAGGUGUGGGGGACAUUCCACGUUUUCCGCGCCGUAGCUAACGCAUUAAGUGCCCCGCCUGGGGAGUACGGCCGCAAGGCUAAAACUCAAAGGAAUUGACGGGGGCCCGCACAAGCGGCGGAGCAUGCGGAUUAAUUCGAUGCAACGCGAAGAACCUUACCAAGGCUUGACAUGCAUUAGAUCGCGUCAGAGAUGGCGUUUCCCUUCGGGGCUGGUGUACAGGUGGUGCAUGGUUGUCGUCAGCUCGUGUCGUGAGAUGUUGGGUUAAGUCCCGCAACGAGCGCAACCCUCGUUCUAUGUUGCCAGCGGUUCGGCCGGGGACUCAUAGGAGACUGCCGGGGUCAACUCGGAGGAAGGUGGGGAUGACGUCAAAUCAUCAUGCCCCUUAUGUCUUGGGCUUCACGCAUGCUACAAUGGCCGGUACAGAGGGUUGCGAUACUGUGAGGUGGAGCUAAUCCCUUAAAGCCGGUCUCAGUUCGGAUUGGGGUCUGCAACUCGACCCCAUGAAGUCGGAGUCGCUAGUAAUUGCAGAUCAGCAACGCUGCGGUGAAUACGUUCCCGGGCCU
rnacentral:rRNA from 1 species